rnacentral:tRNA from 1 species
GGAGUUUCUGAACACUGGCGAACACCAGCGACAGUAUGACUCCGCCUUUGCACGGCGGAGGUCAGGGGUUCGAAUCCCCUCGGCUCCA